UUCGGUGGCUAUAGCGGAGGGGAGACACCCGGUCCCAUUCCGAACCCGGAAGUUAAGCCUUCCAGCGCCGAUGGUACUGCCCUGGAGACGGGGUGGGAGAGUAGGUCGCCGCCGAGA
rnacentral:rRNA from 1 species